rnacentral:rRNA from 1 species
UUCUUGGUCAUUUAGAGGAAGUAAAAGUCGUAACAAGGUUUCCGUAGGUGAACCUGCGGAAGGAUCAUUAAAGAGAUUUAAUAAUUUUGAAAUGGAUUUUUUUGUUUUGGCAAGAGCAUGAGAGCUUUUACUGGGCAAGAAGACAAGAGAUGGAGAGUCCAGCCGGGCCUGCGCUUAAGUGCGCGGUCUUGCUAGGCUUGUAAGUUUCUUUCUUGCUAUUCCAAACGGUGAGAGAUUUCUGUGCUUUUGUUAUAGGACAAUUAAAACCGUUUCAAUACAACACACUGUGGAGUUUUCAUAUCUUUGCAACUUUUUCUUUGGGCAUUCGAGCAAUCGGGGCCCAGAGGUAACAAACACAAACAAUUUUAUCUAUUCAUUAAAUUUUUGUCAAAAACAAGAAUUUUCGUAACUGGAAAUUUUAAAAUAUUAAAAACUUUCAACAACGGAUCUCUUGGUUCUCGCAUCGAUGAAGAACGCAGCGAAAUGCGAUACGUAAUGUGAAUUGCAGAAUUCCGUGAAUCAUCGAAUCUUUGAACGCACAUUGCGCCCCUUGGUAUUCCAGGGGGCAUGCCUGUUUGAGCGUCAUUUCCUUCUCAAACAUUCUGUUUGGUAGUGAGUGAUACUCUUUGGAGUUAACUUGAAAUUGCUGGCCUUUUCAUUGGAUGUUUUUUUUCCAAAGAGAGGUUUCUCUGCGUGCUUGAGGUAUAAUGCAAGUACGGUCGUUUUAGGUUUUACCAACUGCGGCUAAUCUUUUUUUAUACUGAGCGUAUUGGAACGUUAUCGAUAAGAAGAGAGCGUCUAGGCGAACAAUGUUCUUAAAGUUUGACCUCAAAUCAGGUAGGAGUACCCGCUGAACUUAAGCAUAUCAAUAAGCGGAGGAA